AGAGUUUGAUCCUGGCUCAGGACGAACGUUGGCGGCGUGCUUAACACAUGCAAGUCGAGCGGUUGAGAGGUGGGAGGUGAGAGGUUAGACGUGGGAGAAAGAAAGAAUUAUAAUCUGCCUGUAAGACAGGGAUAACGCCGGGAAACCGGUGCUAAUACCCGAUAACCUCUUUGGAUCGCAUGGUUUAAAGAGAAAAGGUGGCCUCUUUACAAUGCUACCACUUACAGAUGAAUCCGCGUCCCAUUAGCCAGUUGGUGGGGUAAUGGCCUACCAAAGCAACGAUGGGUAGCCGGCCUGAGAGGGUGACCGGCCACACUGGAACUGAGAUACGGUCCAGACUCCUACGGGAGGCAGCAGUGGGGAAUCUUCCGCAAUGGGCGAAAGCCUGACGGAGCAACGCCGCGUGAGCGAAGAAGGUCUUCGGAUUGUAAAGCUCUGUCUUCUGGGACGAAAAAAAUGACGGUACCUGAGGAGGAAGCCACGGCUAACUACGUGCCAGCAGCCGCGGUAAUACGUAGGUGGCAAGCGUUGUCCGGAAUCAUUGGGCGUAAAGGGCGCGUAGGCGGUUAUUUAAGUCAGUUGUGAAAACUCUGGGCUUAACCCGGAGAUUGCUCUUGAAACUGGAUUUCUUGAGGGUAUGAGAGGAAAGCGGAAUUCCUAGUGUAGCGGUGAAAUGCGUAGAUAUUAGGAGGAACACCAGUGGCGAAGGCGGCUGUCUGGACUGUAACUGACGCUGAGGCGCGAAAGCGUGGGGAGCAAACAGGAUUAGAUACCCCGGUAGUCCAAACCUUAAACGAUGGGUACUAGGUGUCGGGGGUCUCGACUCCCUCUGUGCCGCAGUUAACGCGAUAAGUUUUCCGCCUGGGGAGUACGACCGCAAGGUUAAAACUCAAGGGAAUUGACGGGGGCCCGCACAAGCGGUGGAGCAUGUGGUUUAAUUCGACGCAACGCGAAGAACCUUACCAGGUCUUGACAUCCUCUGACAACCCAAGAGAUUGGGCGUUCAUCCUUNNNNNNNUUAGACAGAGAGCAAGGUGGUGCAUGGUUGUCGUCAGCUCGUGUCGUGAGAUGUUGGGUUAAGUCCCGCAACGAGCGCAACCCUUAUUCUUAGUUGCCAGCAAGUAAUGUUGGGCACUCUAGGGAGACUGCCGGUGAUAAACCGGAGGAAGGUGGGGAUGACGUCAAAUCAUCAUGCCCUUUAUGACCUGGGCUACACACGUGCUACAAUGGCCUGUACAAAGGGUAGCGAAGCCGCGAGGUGAAGCCAAUCCCAAAAAAAUAGGUCUCAGUUCGGAUUGUAGGCUGCAACUCGCCUACAUGAAGUCGGAAUCGCUAGUAAUCGCGGGUCAGCAUACCGCGGUGAAUACGUUCCCGGGCCUUGUACACACCGCCCGUCACACCACGAAAGUCUGCAACACCCGAAGCCGGUGUAGUAACCUAACGGAACAAGCCGUCGAAGGUGGGGCCGAUGAUUGGGGUGAAGUCGUAACAAGGUAACC
rnacentral:rRNA from 1 species